UGGGGAAUUUUGGACAAUGGGCGAAAGCCUGAUCCAGCAAUGCCGCGUGUGUGAAGAAGGCCUUCGGGUUGUAAAGCACUUUUGUCCGGAAAGAAAUCCUUGGCUCUAAUACAGUCGGGGGAUGACGGUACCGGAAGAAUAAGCACCGGCUAACUACGUGCCAGCAGCCGCGGUAAUACGUAGGGUGCAAGCGUUAAUCGGAAUUACUGGGCGUAAUGCGUGCGCAGGCGGUUUGCUAAGACCGAUGUGAAAUCCCCGGGCUCAACCUGGGAACUGCAUUGGUGACUGGCAGGCUAGAGUAUGGCAGAGGGGGGUAGAAUUCCACGUGUAGCAGUGAAAUGCGUAGAGAUGUGGAGGAAUACCGAUGGCGAAGGCAGCCCCCUGGGCCAAUACUGACGCUCAUGCACGAAAGCGUGGGGAGCAAACAGGAUUAGAUACCCUGGUAGUCCACGCCCUAAACGAUGUCAACUAGUUGUUGGGGGAUUCAUUUCCUUAGUAACGUAGCUAACGCGUGAAGUUGACCGCCUGGGGAGUACGGUCGCAAGAUUAAAACUCAAAUGAAUUGACGGGGUCAUA
rnacentral:rRNA from 1 species